UCCUGACGUAGUUCAUGAGCCAGUCGAAGAUCUGCACGUCGCAGUGAACUGAGAUGUCCACCUCUUCCCACCUCUGCUGGUCCACGGACAGAUACUCAGCAAAGUAACGCAUCUCUUUGACCAGAAGAUCUCUAGGACAGUGCCACCUCUUCCAGAUGGUGACUUGGAGGCUGCAGACAUCAGGAGAAAAAACGUUAAAGGAGCCUAAAUCCAGACAUCAAUUCUAGAGCCUAGCAAAUGUCUCCAUACACUAAACCAGCCAAAUCCAUCUUGGCCCAUUAACACUGACCAGUUUCCAAAACACCAGCACCUGGAGGCAAACCACAGAUGCAGUUCAUCAUCUCCAGCAGCGAUUCAAAG